rnacentral:rRNA from 1 species
UACGAAGGGGGCUAGCGUUGUUCGGAUUUACUGGGCGUAAAGCGCACGUAGGCGGAUCGUUAAGUCGGGGGUGAAAUCCGGGAGCUCAACUCCAGAACUGCCUUCGAUACUGGCGAUCUUGAGUCCGGAAGAGGUGAGUGGAACUCCUAGUGUAGAGGUGGAAUUCGUAGAUAUUAGGAAGAACACCAGUGGCGAAGGCGAGUCCCUGGACACUUCCUGACACUGAGGCACGAAAGCUAGGGGAGCAAACAGG